GUUUCGGUGGUCAUAGCGGUGGGGGAACACCCGGUCCCAUUCCGAACCCGGUAGUUAAGCCUUCCAGCGCCGAUGGUACUGCACUCGUGAGGGUGUGGGAGAGUAGGACGCCGCCGAACAU
rnacentral:rRNA from 1 species